rnacentral:lncRNA from 1 species
UUCGUCUGACUUGGGUAUAGGGGCGAAAGACUAAUCGAACCAUCUAGUAGCUGGUUCCCUCCGAAGUUUCCCUCAGGAUAGCUGGAUGUCACGGCCCGUUUCAAGCCCAAAACGUCCAUGACUUGCAGCUGAGCAUCGGACCGGGCCAAAGAAGAUUCAAGCCCACAUUUACUUAGGUUUCUUAAGUGUGAAGUACCUUUGUAAAAUAUCUAAGUAUUUUAUAUAUUAAGAAGUGUGUAGAAUACUUAAGAAUGAAGUUGCUUAAGGGGAAGGAACUUCAUGGUGAAGUAACUUCAUGGGUAGGAAAGAAUCUGAACCGUUGGAUCGGUUUAAUCUCCACCGUCCAUUGAGGAGGUGAUCUUGUAUAAAUAGGGGGUGAGAUCCUCACUUGUAACAAAUCCUGAACUUAAUAAGAAAUCAGUUCAUAAAGCUCUGUUCUCUCUCUAAAACGUUCAUACUUCUCUCUCUAAGUACUGAUCAGUUUCCGAAAGGCUGACUUAGCAAAUCACAAGGGUGAAAGGUGCUAAGGCCGCACGUCCUGAUUGCUGUGAAGAAAUCAGUCCGUGACAGUUGGUAUCAGAGCGGAGUUACGAUCCAGACAAGGGGAGACUCUGUCCGAGUGAAGAAAAUGGCUAAGGGAGAUAAACAAAAAGAAGCAAGCUCGCAGUCCGGCGUGGAGGAGCGCGGACGGGAGGCUACAUCCACACGUGCUGGCACCCAGCGGGAAAAGAGUGUUUCUCGUGAGGCUUUGGGUGUGGCUGUGGGCGAGAUUGGUGAGAAGCUCGAGAGGGUCGAGCAUACCGUCACUGAGCUGGAGAGUGUCGUGUUCGGUGGGCUUGAGGAGGUCAAGCAAAAUGCUGCCGACUUGGACUCUCGGUUCAUUCGGCUCGAGGAGCUGGUGACGGGAUCCAUGCAGGCUUUGCGUGAUGACAUCGAGGGGAUGAAGGCACGCUUUACUGCGAUGGAGGAGGACGUCGCAUUGGUCAAGAGGGCAAGCGCGAACGUUGGAGCCGUUGAAGGAACCAGUGUUGGUAAGGUUGAAUUUCCGAAGCCAAACCGGUUCAACGGUUCGCGGGAUGCCAAGGAGGUCGAGAAUUUCCUUUGGCAGAUGGAGAUAUACUUCGACAAUCUCAACUUGGUGGCUGAGAAUGCGAAGGUGAAGGCCGCGACGUCCUACCUGUCAGACACGGCCAUGCUGUGGUGGAGAAGGAAACAUUCCGAGAUCGAGCAAGGAACAUGCCGGAUCGAUACUUGGGAUGAUUUCAAGAAGGAGUUGAAGCGGCAGUUCUACCCGGAGAACGUCGUGUAUGAGGCCCGUAAGAAGUUGAGGGAACUUCGACAGCGUGGUUCGAUCCGGGACUAUGUGAAGGAGUUCACAACGCUCAUGCUUCAGAUUCCGAACAUGACCGCGGAGGAUCUUGUGUUCUACUUCACCGAUGGACUGCAAUCUUGGGCCAAGCAAGAGUUGCAGCGUCGGGGAGUCAAGACAGUGGACGAAGCCAUUGCGGUGGCUGAGUCGCUGACUGACUUCCGCACCUCUGGUCCGUCUGAGUCCUCAAAGAAGAAGGAGCAGGUCGUGGCCAAAGGUGGGGGAGCGAGACGGGAUACUUUCCGACCAUCCAACUCAAGGAGCUUUGAGAGGGGUGCUCGUCGGGAAGACUUCGAGGCAAGGAAAAAGUCCUUCGUUCCUAAGGGAGGGUGCUUUGUGUGCAAGGGGCCACAUGCGAUGAAGGACUGUCCGAAGAUGGGAUCUUUAUCGGCUAUCAUGGAAAGUCGGGACACCGAGACUCCAGAAGAGGAAUCAGUAAAGAUGGGGUCGUUGCAGCUUCUCAACGCCCUAAAGGCUAACCCGGUAGUGAAGCCGAUGAGCAAGGGGCUCAUGUACGUGGAAGCUCGGAUCAACGAUAAGCCGACCCGAGUGAUGGUGGACACGGGCGCCACUCACAACUUCAUGGCAAUAGACGAAGCUGUGAGACUUGGUGUCAAGUGGUCCAAGAAGGACGGUUGGAUGAAGACGGUGAACGCCAAGGCUCAACCCGUCCAUGGAAUAGCCCGAGGGGUCGGGAUGAAGUUGGGAAGCUGGAGCGGUCCGGUGAACUUCUCAGUCAUUCCUAUGGACGACUUCAAGGUAGUCUUGGGUAUGGACUUCAUGAGACAAGUCUCAGCCAUACCCAUGCCUGCGUUGAGCUCGGUAUGUAUACUCGAGAAGGGAUCACCGUGCAUGAUUCCAGCCUUGGAAGAGAAAACUGAUGGGACGAGGCAACUAUCGGCAAUGCAACUCACCAAGGGGGUGAAGAAGGGUGAACCCACGUUUUUGGCAAUGAUGAAGGUGGAAGAUCAGCCCAAGAACGUGGAGACCAUCCCACCAGUCAUCGAGACUGUCCUUGAGGAGAACAAGGACGUUAUGCCGGCCAAGUUGCCCGAGAAGCUACCACCGAGGAGGGCGGUGGACCACCAGAUCGAGUUGGAGCCAGAAGCUAAGCCCCCAUCCAUGGCGCCUUAUAGGAUGGCUCCAUCCGAGCUGGAAGAGUUAAGGAAACAACUCGAUGAGUUGUUAUCGACGGGGAAGCUGAGACCGUCAAAGGCACCUUACGGGGCACCGGUUCUGUUCCAAAAGAAACACGAUGGUUCGUUGAGGAUGUGCGUGGACUACCGGGCCCUUAACAAGGUGACAAUCAAGAACCGCUAUCCCAUUCCAUUGAUUGCCGAUCUAUUCGAUAGACUUGGUGGAGCAAAAGUCUAUACAAAGAUGGACUUGCAGAAGGGUUAUUACCAAGUCCGGAUAGCGGAAGGGGAUGAGCCUAAGACUGCAUGCAUAACGCGGUAUGGGUCGUUUGAGUGGUUGGUGAUGCCAUUCGGGCUUACAAACGCCCCAGCCACGUUCUGCACCCUUAUGAACCAGAUCCUUCAGCCCUACUUGGAUCGGUUCGUGGUGGCAUACUUAGACGAUAUUGUCAUCUACAGCAACUCGAUGGAGGAGCAUGUAGAGCACCUACGAACAGUUUUCCGAGUUCUUCGAGAGAACGAACUGUUUGUAAAGAGGGAAAAGUGCACAUUUGCCACUGAGGAAGUUCAGUUCCUUGGCCAUGUUAUCGGCCAUGGAAAGCUGAAGAUGGAUGAACCGAAGGUCAAGGCGAUUAUGGAGUGGGAGGCCCCGACCAAGGUGACGGAGUUGCGAUCUUUCCUUGGUCUAGUCAACUACUAUCGUCGGUUCAUCGAGGGAUAUUCGAGGAAGGCGGCACCACUGUCAGACCUUCUCAAGAAGGGGAAGACAUGGGACUGGUCCGAACGUUGCCAAGAAGCCUUCGAGGAACUGAAGACUGCGGUAAGCGAAGAACCCGUUCUUGCCUUACCCGACUUCAGUCUUCCUUUCGAGUUACAUACGGAUGCCUCCGACUUUGCCAUCGGGGGAGUGCUGAUGCAAAACGGACAUCCAAUUGCCUUUGAGAGUCGCAAGCUCAAUGAGACUGAACGGCGGUACACGGUUCAAGAGAAGGAGAUGACCGCGAUAGUCCAUUGCUUGCGAAUUUGGAGACACUAUCUUCUGGGAUCGCACUUCUCAGUCAAAACGGACAACGUGGCGACUAGCUACUUUCAGACCCAGAAGAAGCUUUCCCCAAAACAGGCAAGAUGGCAAGACUUCCUGGCUGAGUUCGAUUACACUUUGGAGUACAAGCCAGGGAAGGUGAAUGUGGUGGCUGAUGCACUAAGUCGGAAAGCGGAGCUAGCAGCGAUGAGCCAAGUCGAGGGGACCAUUAUGGCUCGAAUCCGAGAGGGGCUGGAACGCGAUCCAGUCGCUAAGGAGCUGGUGAAACUAUCCAACGAAGGGAAGGUGCAUCGAUUUUGGGUAGAGAACGGGUUACUCUACACCAAAGGUCGAAGACUUUAUGUGCCUAAGUGGGAAAGUCUUCGACGAGACAUCAUUCGGGAGUGCCAUGAUACCCGAUGGGCGGGCCAUCCGGGACAGAAUAGAACGAUGGCACUUGUCGAAGCGGGAUACUACUGGCCACGGAUGAGAGAUACCGUGGAACUCUAUGUGAAGACUUGUCUUGUUUGCCAGCAAGACAAGACGGAGAACAAGCAGUCCGCGGGUUUGCUACAGCCACUUCCAAUUCCAGAGAGACCAUGGGACUCGGUUUCCCUAGACUUUAUCAGCGCGUUACCGAAGUCUGAAGGGUUCGGUUCCAUCUUGGUGAUUGUGGAUCGUUUCUCUAAGUAUGGAACGUUCGUGGCUUGUGACCGGGACUGUACCGCGGAAGAGGCAGCAAGGGCGUUUUUCAAAAACGUGGUAAAGUUGUGGGGACUUCCGCGGAACAUCGUGAGUGAUCGGGAUCCCCGAUUCACUGGGCGCUUAUGGACGGAGCUGUUCAAGAUGCUUGGAACAGAACUAAGUUUCUCAACAAGCUUUCACCCGCAAUCUGAUGGGCAGACCGAGAGGGUGAAUGCCUUGCUUGAGAGUUAUCUCCGUCACUUUGUAAGUGCCAACCAACGGGACUGGGCAAAGUUGCUGGACAUAGCCCAGUUCUCAUACAAUCUUCAACGCAGCGAGGCAACGGGACGGAGUCCGUUCGAGCUUGCAACAGGACAACAGCCAUUGACUCCGCAUACCUUGGCUACACCAAGGACUGAAGGGAAGAGUCCCGGGGCGUUCAUAAUGGCCAAACAGUGGGAAGAACAUGCUGAUCUUGCCCGAGCAUGUUUGGAAAAGUCCCAAAAGCGGAUGAAGAAAUGGGCAGAUGAGAAGAGACGGCCUUCGGAGUAUUCAGUGGGCGACCUUGUACUUGUGAAACUACUUCCACAACAGUUCAAGGCAUUCCGGAGCCUACACAAAGGCUUGAUCCGGAGGUACGAAGGGCCGUUCGAGAUAAUUGGAAAGGUGGGAAAGGUUUCCUACCGACUUGAACUACCGGAUACCCUUAAGAUCCAUCCGGUCUUUCAUGUGAGCAUGCUGAAGCCGUACCAUGCUGAUGAGGACGACCAAACCCGAGGAGUUUCGACUCGAGCACCACCCGCGGUGACUAAGUCUUAUGAUAAAGAGAUUGAAGAGGUGCUGGCGUCCAAGGAAGUGCGGAAACGAGGAGUUCCACGACAGACCCAUUUCCUCAUCAAGUGGAAGGGUCUACCAGAGGCGGAAGCGACGUGGGAGCCGGAGGAUGACUUAUGGCAAUUCCGGGAGGCACUAAAGGCGUACUCGGUGACGAGGGCGUCUCCGACUUAGGUGGGGGAGGAUGUCACGGCCCGUUUCAAGCCCAAAACGUCCAUGACUUGCAGCUGAGCAUCGGACCGGGCCAAAGAAGAUUCAAGCCCACAUUUACUUAGGUUUCUUAAGUGUGAAGUACCUUUGUAAAAUAUCUAAGUAUUUUAUAUAUUAAGAAGUGUGUAGAAUACUUAAGAAUGAAGUUGCUUAAGGGGAAGGAACUUCAUGGUGAAGUAACUUCAUGGGUAGGAAAGAAUCUGAACCGUUGGAUCGGUUUAAUCUCCACCGUCCAUUGAGGAGGUGAUCUUGUAUAAAUAGGGGGUGAGAUCCUCACUUGUAACAAAUCCUGAACUUAAUAAGAAAUCAGUUCAUAAAGCUCUGUUCUCUCUCUAAAACGUUCAUACUUCUCUCUCUAAGUACUGAUCAGUUUCCGAAAGGCUGACUUAGCAAAUCACAAGGGUGAAAGGUGCUAAGGCCGCACGUCCUGAUUGCUGUGAAGAAAUCAGUCCGUGACAUGGAGCUCGGAAACGAGUUCUAUCGGGUAAAGCCAAUGAUUAGAGGCAUCGGGGACGCAAUGUCCUCGACCUAUUCUCAAACUUUAAAUAGGUAGGACGGGGUGGCUGCUUUGUUGAG